GAGGGAGAUUUGGGACAUUGGUGAUGGGAAUGUUGCACUGGUGAUGGGGGUGUUCUUUACAUGACUGAAACCUAAUAACAAUUAUAUAUGUAAUCAAGAUGUUUAAAUAAAAAAAGUUUCAAAUAAAAAAAAG